rnacentral:sRNA from 1 species
AAUUCCGGUAGGUAAGGCUACUACAGGGAUAUGGACUGCUGCCGCGGAGUGAUGGAGACAUCAUGAGAAGGUUUGAACAGGUUAUAUCGAAACCAAGGUAUAACAUAAUGCAGUUUCACCGCCCUGCAGAGCUAAAGCUCAAACGGUGG